rnacentral:rRNA from 1 species
AGGUGGUGCAUGGUUGUCGUCAGCUCGUGUCGUGAGAUGUUGGGUUAAGUCCCGCAACGAGCGCAACCCUUAAGCUUAGUUGCCAUCAUUAAGUUGGGCACUCUAAGUUGACUGCCGGUGACAAACCGGAGGAAGGUGGGGAUGACGUCAAAUCAUCAUGCCCCUUAUGAUUUGGGCUACACACGUGCUACAAUGGACAAUACAAAGGGCAGCGAAACCGCGAGGUCAAGCAAAUCCCAUAAAGUUGUUCUCAGUUCGGAUUGUAGUCUGCAACUCGACUACAUGAAGCUGGAAUCGCUAGUAACCGUAGAUCAGCAUGCUACGGUGAAUACGUUCCCGGGUCUUG